rnacentral:lncRNA from 1 species
GUUGUCUUUUCUUUUUUUCUAGCAGGGUCGACGCAGAUUGAGGUAUUCCAGGUAUGUUUUCUGUUAAGACCUUUGUGUAUGUCUAAUUUUUUUCCUUUAGGUCGUGUGGCUUUCUUUUUUUUUGCAGGGCCCGACGCAGAUUAAGGAUUUUCAGGUAUGUUUUCUGUUAAGACCUUUGUGUAUGUCUAAUGUUGUCUUUUCUUUUUUUCUAGCAGGGCGCGACGCAGAUUGCAGAUUCGCAGGUAUGUUUUCUGUUAAGGCCUUUGAGUAUGUCUAAUGUCACCUUUUCUUUUUUUUCUCAGCAGGGCGCGACGCAGAUUGAGGAAUUCAGGUAUGUUUUCUGUUAAGACCUUUGUGUAUGUCUAAUGUCGCCUUUUCUUUUUUUCUAGCAGGGGGCGACGCAGAUUGAGGAUUUUCAGGUAUGUUUUCUGUUAAGACCUUUGUGUAUGUCUAAUUUCGCCUUUUCUUUUUUUCUAGCAGGGUGCGACGCAGAUUGAGGAUUCCCAGGUAUGUUUUCCGUUAAGACCUUUGUGUAUGUCUAAUUUCGCCUUUUCUUUUUUUCUAGCAGGGCGCGACGCAGAUUGAGGAUUCCCAGGUAUGUUUUCUGUUAAGACCUUUGUGUAUGUCUAAUGUCGCCUUUUCUUUUUUUUCUAGCAGGUCGCGACGCAGAUUGAGGAAUUCCAGGUAUGUUUUCUGUUAAGACCUUUGUGUAUGUCUAAUGUUGUCUUUUUCUUUUUUUUCUAGCAGGGCGCGACGCAGAUUGAGAGAUUCCAGGUAUGUUUUCUGUUAAGACCUUUGUGUAUGUCUAAUGUCGCCUUUUCUUUUUUUCUAGCAGGUCGCGACGCAGAUUGAGGAAUUCCAGGUAUGUUUUCUGUUAAGACCUUUGUGUAUGUCUAAUGUUGCUUUUCUUUUUUUCUAGCAGGUCUUGACGCAGAUUGGAAAUUCCUUUAGGUCGUGUGGCCUUUUUUUUUUUUUUAGCAGGGCGCGACGCAGAUUGAGGAUUUUCAGGUAUGUUUUCUGUUAAGGCCUUUGAGUAUGUCUAAUGUCACCUUUUCUUUUUUUUUCCAGCAGGGCGCGACGCAGAUUGAAGAUUCGCAGGUAUGUUUUCUGUUAAGGCCUUUGUGUAUGUCUAAUGUCGCCUUUUCUUUUUUUCUAGCAGGGCGCGACGCAGAUUGAGGAAUUC